AAUAUAGUGCCUGAAUUAUUUAAAGGAUAGUUUUGAUAGAACUAAUAAUGUAGAAUUCCUACCUGUAUUA
rnacentral:tRNA from 1 species